rnacentral:rRNA from 1 species
AAUGAAUAAGAGGUCCUGCCUGCCCCGUGACCAUGAGUUUAACGGCCGCGGUAUUUUGACCGUGCAAAGGUAGCGCAAUCACUUGUCUUUUAAAUGAAGACCCGUAUGAACGGCAAGACGAGGGCUUAACUGUCUCCUUUUUCAAGUCAGUGAAAUUGAUCUUCCCGUGCAGAAGCGGGAAUUUUACCAUAAGACGAGAAGACCCUAUGGAGCUUUAGACACUAAGAUAGACCACGUCAAAACCCCCAACAAAGGACUGAACUAACUGGAUCCUAUCCUAAUGUCUUCGGUUGGGGCGACCACGGGGAACCAUAAAACCCCCGCGUGGAAUGAGAGCACCACCUGCUCCCACAACUAAGAGCUUCCGCUCUAAUAAACAGAACUUCUGACCAACAAGAUCCGGCAACGCCGAUCAACGAACCAAGUUACCCUAGGGAUAACAGCGCAAUCCUCUUUUAGAGCCCAUAUCGACAAGAGGGUUUACGACCUCGAUGUUGGAUCAGGGCAUCCUAAUGGUGCAACCGCUAUUAAGGGUUCGUUU